rnacentral:lncRNA from 1 species
GGCAUUCCAACUGGCUGUUCAUGGAAAUCCAGCAUUGGUGGCUCGAACCGCAGAGGUCGGCAAUUUCCCCGAUAUAGGGAUACACUUUUCUGUUGAUAUGAACUGAGGCCUAUAGUUGUCUCAGUCUGCAAUAGGUCUCCUUCAUCAAAACGUAGCAUUUCUAUUAUGCCAUCCGACUGGAUGAAAGCUUCCUUCUCGGCCCGGGCCGCGUGAAGGAGCACCGCCAGGGUGAGGCGCAGCACGGCUGCCCCCCAGCCGCCGCAUUGAGGGAAGGGGGAGCCGGCCGCCGCCUCCCGCCGCGCCGUCAUCGCGCUGCCGCAGCCGGUGCGGGUCCGCCGCGUCUCCGGCCGGGCCGCGGCGCGCGCGCGGAGGAGC